AUAAACGCUAGCGGCAGGCCUAACACAUGCAAGUCGAGGGGCAUCGGAUAGAGUACUUCGGUACUCUUGCCGGCGACCGGCGGACGGGUGCGUAACGCGUAUGCAACCUACCUUCAACAGGGGGAUAAUCCGAAGAAAUUUGGUCUAAUACCCCAUAAUAUUCCGACAGGCAUCUGUCGGAGUUGAAAGCUUCGGUGGUUGGAGAUGGGCAUGCGUUGUAUUAGCUAGAUGGUGAGGUAACGGCUCACCAUGGCGAUGAUACAUAGGGGGACUGAGAGGUUUUCCCCCCACACUGGUACUGAGACACGGACCAGACUCCUACGGGAGGCAGCAGUGAGGAAUAUUGGUCAAUGGACGGAAGUCUGAACCAGCCAUGCCGCGUGCAGGAUGAAUGUGCUAUGCAUUGUAAACUGCUUUUGUACGAGGGUAAACCCAGAUACGCGUAUCUGCUUGAAAGUAUCGUACGAAUAAGGAUCGGCUAACUCCGUGCCAGCAGCCGCGGUAAUACGGAGGAUCCGAGCGUUAUCCGGAUUUAUUGGGUUUAAAGGGUGCGUAGGCUGUUUUUUAAGUUAGAGGUGAAAGCUCGACGCUCAACGUCGAAAUUGCCUCUGAUACUGAGAGACUAGAGUGUAGUUGCGGAAGGCGGAAUGUGUGGUGUAGCGGUGAAAUGCUUAGAUAUCACACAGAACACCGAUUGCGAAGGCAGCUUUCCAAGCUAUUACUGACGCUGAGGCACGAAAGCGUGGGGAGCGAACAGGAUUAGAUACCCUGGUAGUCCACGCAGUAAACGAUGAUAACUCGUUGCCGGCGAUACACAGUCGGUGACUUAGCGAAAGCGUUAAGUUAUCCACCUGGGGAGUACGUUCGCAAGAAUGAAACUCAAAGGAAUUGACGGGGGCCCGCACAAGCAGUGGAGUAUGUGGUUUAAUUCGAAGCAACGCGAGGAACCUUACCAGGUCUUGACAUCCUACUAACGAGAUAGAGAUAUUUUAGGUGCCCUUCGGGGAAAGUAGAGACAGGUGGUGCAUGGUUGUCGUCAGCUCGUGCCGUGAGGUGUCGGGUUAAGUCCCAUAACGAGCGCAACCCCUACCGUUAGUUGCCAUCAGGUCAAGCUGGGCACUCUAGCGGGACUGCCGGUGUAAGCCGAGAGGAAGGUGGGGAUGACGUCAAAUCAGCACGGCCCUUACGUCCGGGGCGACACACGUGUUACAAUGGCCGGUACAGAGGGUAGCUACCUGGUGACAGGAUGCCAAUCUCGAAAGCCGGUCUCAGUUCGGAUUGGAGGCUGAAACUCGCCUCCAUGAAGUUGGAUUCGCUAGUAAUCGCGCAUCAGCCAUGGCGCGGUGAAUACGUUCCCGGGCCUUGUACACACCGCCCGUCACACCAUGGGAGUCAGUAACGCCCGAAGUCAGUGACCUAACUGCAAAGAAGGAGCUGCCGAAGGCGGGACCGAUGACUGGGGUG
rnacentral:rRNA from 1 species